UUACGGCCGUAUCAGGUUGAAACUCCGGUUUCCGUACGAUGACAGAAGUUAAGCAACGUCGAUCCUGGUCAGUACCUAGAUGGGUAACCGCUAGGGGAUACCAGGUUGUG